rnacentral:rRNA from 1 species
AUUGAACGCUGGCGGCAUGCUUUACACAUGCAAGUCGGACGAGUGGCGAACGGGUGAGUAACGCAUCGGAACGUACCGAGUAAUGGGGGAUAACUGGCCGAAAGGACCGCUAAUACCGCAUAUUAUUCGAGCGGCCGAUGUCAGAUUGGCUGGUGUGCGGGGUAAAGGCCCACCAAGGCGACGAUGAGUAGCGGGACUGAGAGGAUGAUCGGCCACACUGGGACUGAGACACGGCCCAGACUCCUACGGGAGGCAGCAGUGGGGAAUUUUCGACAAGGGAGGAAAGCCUGAUCCAGCCAUGCCGCGUGUGUGAAGAAGGCUUUCGGGUUGUAAAGGACUUUUGUCAGGGAAGCGGUACCUGAAGAGUAAGCACCGGCUAACUACGUGCCAGCAGCCGCGGUAAUAC